ensembl:lncRNA novel transcript
GAGUAGCUGGGACUACAGGCGCCCGCCACCACACCCGGCUAAUUUUUUUGUAUUUUUAGUAGAGACGGGGUUUCACCAUGUUAGCCAGAAUCGUCUUGAUCUCCUGACCUUGUGAUCCACCCGCCUCGGCCUCCCAAAGUGCUGGGAUUACAGGUGUGAGCCACCACGCCUGGUCCAAGAACCCAACUUUUAGAUCUAGAGUGAUGUCAGCAUGACAUUGAUUUCCUGAGGCCCAGGGGUGAAGGAGCUGAGGACAGCAGAGGGGUGAAGGAAGUCAGCUACAGACAGCAGCAGCUGAUGCACAGGCCUCCCAGCGCCUGAAGUCACCCGGAAUUGGGAAGUGCUCAGAAGCUUACAAAGCUGCCUCGAGGUGGGAACACAAUAUUAAUCCAAGAGCAGAUCCCUGAUCCUAUAAAAAUGUACUAGAUGCAGUGGGGGCAUUUUAAAUGAGCAGGGAAGAACAGACAGAUAGACAGAAGGACAAACAGUAUUGGGAUUGGGAUAAAUGCUCAGCUUUUGCCCAAAUCUUAGUGACUUAAGCAUCACUUAUUUGCUCACGAUUCUGUGGCUGGACCAUUUGGUUUGGCUCACAGGGCAGGGACUGUGCUGGUCUUACCUGAGCAGACCUGCAUGUCUGCGGUCAGCUGGGUUGGCAGAGACAGAGUGACUGUCUUCCUCCAGGAAGCAGCAGGUUAACUGGUUGGCAGAGACAGAGGGACAGAGGGACUGUCUUCCUCCAGGAAGCAGCAGGUUAACUGGUUGGCAGAGACAGAGGGACAGAGGGACUGUCUUCCUCCAGGAAGCAGCAGGUUGGCUCUGGUUCCUUCGUGGGGCAGCUGGUCUCUAGGGCAGCAAGAGAGACCAAGCCCCCGUGCACAUUCUACAGCCUCUGUGCACAUCAGACUUGUUAAUAUCCCAUUGGCCAGUGCAAGUCACACGGCCAAGCCCAGAUUAAGGAGUGGAAAGAUGGAUGCUAUCUCCUCCUGGGAGAGGAGGCAAAGGAGGUGAGAGCAUUAUGUGGCCACUUAUGUUUGCAAUCUACCAUACUUAGCCCUUUGAGAAAAGAAUUAACUGAGAAACUUGCUUCAAAUAGGGCAUUCAGUAAAAUGAAGCCCCAAUUGAAGUAAAAUGCAUAUAUAAAAAAUGAAACUGUGACCGAUUUUAAGGACAGUAUUGGCAAAUAUUUCUGUGCUCUUGGAGGAGAAGACCCUUAUUGGCAUGACAUGUCAGAAACCACAAUGAAAGAAUUAUUUUAACUUGCAUUCAUAAUAAUUAAAAUUAUUCAUUAAAAACAUCGUGAAUGAAAUUAAAAGUCAAAAUGUAAGCCAGAAAAUUAUUUACAACAUAUGUGUCAGGAAAAGACAAUACCCUUCAGACUUUGAGAGUUUACAUCAGAAAGAAAAUAGCAAAUGACAUGAUCCAAACUUGAUAAAGGACAUGAAAAAGAGCCAGCACUUAGUAUGUUUUAUGAAUGAAUAAGUAGCCAACAGCACAUGAAAAUGUGUGUAAUCCACUUGUAAGCAGAGAAAUGCAAACUAAAACAGUAAAGUGUCAUUUUCACUUCCUGGAUUGGCAAAGGGUUUUAUGUAUUUUACUGACAGUGCUCAAUAUUAGCAGUAAACAACAAAUGGUGAGUAAAUAUGAGCUUCGGA